rnacentral:rRNA from 2 species
AUACAUGCAAGUCGAGCGGACAGAAGGGAGCUUGCUCCCGGAUGUUAGCGGCGGACGGGUGAGUAACACGUGGGUAACCUGCCUGUAAGACUGGGAUAACUCCGGGAAACCGGAGCUAAUACCGGAUAGUUCCUUGAACCGCAUGGUUCAAGGAUGAAAGACGGUUUCGGCUGUCACUUACAGAUGGACCCGCGGCGCAUUAGCUAGUUGGUGAGGUAACGGCUCACCAAGGCGACGAUGCGUAGCCGACCUGAGAGGGUGAUCGGCCACACUGGGACUGAGACACGGCCCAGACUCCUACGGGAGGCAGCAGUAGGGAAUCUUCCGCAAUGGACGAAAGUCUGACGGAGCAACGCCGCGUGAGUGAUGAAGGUUUUCGGAUCGUAAAGCUCUGUUGUUAGGGAAGAACAAGUGCAAGAGUAACUGCUUGCACCUUGACGGUACCUAACCAGAAAGCCACGGCUAACUACGUGCCAGCAGCCGCGGUAAUACGUAGGUGGCAAGCGUUGUCCGGAAUUAUUGGGCGUAAAGGGCUCGCAGGCGGUUUCUUAAGUCUGAUGUGAAAGCCCCCGGCUCAACCGGGGAGGGUCAUUGGAAACUGGGAAACUUGAGUGCAGAAGAGGAGAGUGGAAUUCCACGUGUAGCGGUGAAAUGCGUAGAGAUGUGGAGGAACACCAGUGGCGAAGGCGACUCUCUGGUCUGUAACUGACGCUGAG